CCCCUCCCAAUGCUUACCGCAGGCUGCGCAGCUGCCAGCGCUGACUGCACAGAAAGGGGAGGAAGAGCAUCUGCCUUGUGUACACCCCAGCCAGGGAACCCAUGACCUGGGCUGUCUUGUUAGCAGGGAGACAUGU
rnacentral:snoRNA from 1 species